CUCUUAUCCAGAGUGGUGGAGGGAACGGCCCUACGAAGCCCGGCAACCAGCCCCGACUUGUCGGGGCGCGGUGCCAACUCCGACCCCCGCCCUGGGCGGGGGAAAGAUGAGAG
rnacentral:ncRNA from 2 species